ACAUACGACCAUAGCUCGUGGAAAACUGAGGGUCCCGUCCGCUCCCCUGAACAUAAACCGCGAAGCGCCGGACUAGUAGUUGGGUCGGUGACGACCAGCGAAUCCCCGGUGUUGUAUGUU
rnacentral:rRNA from 1 species